rnacentral:rRNA from 1 species
GGACUACAAGGGUUUCUAAUCCUGUUUGCUACCCACGCUUUCGCUCCUCAGCGUCAGUACCGGCCCAGAGCGCCGCCUUCGCCGCUGGUGUUCCUCCUGAUAUCUGCGCAUUUCACCGCUACACCAGGAAUUCCACGCUCCCCUACCGGACUCCAGUCACCGCAGUAUCAGGUGGCGUCUCCAGGUUGAGCCUGGAGGUUUCACACCUGACUUACGGAACCGCCUACGAGCUCUUUACGCCCAAUAAAUCCGGACAACGCUUGCCCCCUACGUGUUACCGCGGCUGCUGGCAC